rnacentral:hammerhead_ribozyme from 1 species
AACUAGUCAGGAGCUGAUGCCACUUUCCUGAUGAGGCCAAGGUAGACCGAAACUAGUU